CGUAACCGACUUCAAUAUGAGUGGAGUGGAGUGGGCUGUACAUGUAUUCCUUUGUGAACAAAGAUGAAUAGCUAAACUGCCUGAUUUAUUUGUUUAUGUUUUGUAACAUAAAUUCCUGAUCUGCUAUUGCUUUGACUCUCUUCCAGAUUUUGGGGUAUUCUAGGGGGAUUGUUCGGCCUAGGAAUCAUUCUGAUCACCGUUACCUACGUCAUAUGCCGGUUCAGGUCUCCCAAUACCUGUAUGAAAAUUUAUUCUGAUGACGACAUUUUUGACGAAAAUGCGGCGUCACAAAGGCGGCGAUCAUCUUUAUUCAUAACAAAGUACUUCAUGAGACGAGAAAGUGUUUGGAAAUUAAAAACUAGAAGAAAAUCUCAGCUUACUGUGAAAAUACACGGAACACAUUUAAGUCAUGCAAGUACAAGCAAAGCAGACGAUCGAACAAACCCCUUCCCCCAAACUACACUUGUCAAGAACGGAGAUACGAAUGCAAGGUGUGGAGGGGGAGGGUACAAAAAUUGUUCAUCGAUGCUGCCAGAAGUUGCAGGUUGAUUUUCAAAACAUGAAAUACACAUUUCUCUUUGAUAUCCGAGCACUGCAUGGAAUGAUUACGGUCUCCGGGUGGCAGCUUUAAGGACAUUUGGAAUUGCAGAGGCGGAUCCGCAGACGAAGCUACCGUGAAAAUAAUUUUGCAGAUCAAUUAUUUAUUGUUAUCAUAUCGUUUUAGACCUAUGUUAUAGAAUCAGGAAAUUGUAAGCUUGAUAACAAAAGUUAUAAUCUGCUUACACUGUGUAUUUCAAUUGUAAAAUACAUGUAUUACAAAUAUCUAAGCACUUGGUAUAUACAUGUACAUGUACAUUUUUGUACACAGUACCAUAAUCUUGGAAAAUCGAUUUUCAGUUGAUGAAGAGUGAUUAGAUUUGUGAAACUAUACCCGACAAAUAUACUUGUUGUUUUGCGUCUUAAUCAAACAUUUCCCGCUCAUAUUGGGACUUGACCAGUUUUAGCUGAUAUAUAAAAAGUGUGAUGUUGCAUGACACCCAAAGACCACAUCACGGAGCGUUCGUUAAAGUGCCAAUGUCUGUCAUAGAUCAGAAACGUAGUUUUAAAGACAGUAAUGCACAGUUUGCGGUGGAAAAAUGUUUUUCACUUUUAAUGAUCAAAAUGUAUUGUCUAAUAUAUUUGAAAAGUUUCACAAAAUCAUUUAAUGUUAUACAAAAUGACAGAAACUCAUUAUAGAGAGUUUAUAUU